AUGGUGGGCACUCUAAGGAGACUGCCGGUGACAAACCGGAGGAAGGUGGGGAUGACGUCAAGUCAUCAUGGCCCUUACGGCCUGGGCUACACACGUGCUACAAUGGUCGGUACAGAGGGUUGCCAAGCCGCGAGGUGGAGCUAAUCCCACAAAACCGAUCGUAGUCCGGAUCGCAGUCUGCAACUCGACUGCGUGAAGUCGGAAUCGCUAGUAAUCGCGAAUCAGAAUGUCGCGGUGAAUACGUUCCCGGGCCUUGUACACACCGCCCGUCACACCAUGGGAGUGGGUUGCACCAGAAGUAGCUAGUCUAACCUUCGGGGGGACGGUUACCACGGUGUGAUUCAUGACUGGGGUGAAGUCGUAACAAGGUAGCCGUAGGGGAACCUGCGGCUGGAUCACC
rnacentral:rRNA from 1 species